rnacentral:rRNA from 1 species
GAUGAACGCUGGCGGCGUGCCUAAUACAUGCAAGUCGAGCGAACGGACGAGAAGCUUGCUUCUCUGAUGUUAGCGGCGGACGGGUGAGUAACACGUGGAUAACCUACCUAUAAGACUGGGGUAACUUCGGGAAACCGGAGCUAAUACCGGAUAAUAUUUUGAACCGCAUGGUUCAAAAGUGAAAGACGGUCUUGCUGUCACUUAUAGAUGGAUCCGCGCUGCAUUAGCUAGUUGGUAAGGUAACGGCUUACCAAGGCAACGAUGCAUAGCCGACCUGAGAGGGUGAUCGGCCACACUGGAACUGAGACACGGUCCAGACUCCUACGGGAGGCAGCAGUAGGGAAUCUUCCGCAAUGGGCGAAAGCCUGACGGAGCAACGCCGCGUGAGUGAUGAAGGUCUUCGGAUCGUAAAACUCUGUUAUUAGGGAAGAACAUAUGUGUAAGUAACUGUGCACAUCUUGACGGUACCUAAUCAGAAAGCCACGGCUAACUACGUGCCAGCAGCCGCGGUAAUACGUAGGUGGCAAGCGUUAUCCGGAAUUAUUGGGCGUAAAGCGCGCGUAGGCGGUUUUUUAAGUCUGAUGUGAAAGCCCACGGCUCAACCGUGGAGGGUCAUUGGAAACUGGAAAACUUGAGUGCAGAAGAGGAAAGUGGAAUUCCAUGUGUAGCGGUGAAAUGCGCAGAGAUAUGGAGGAACACCAGUGGCGAAGGCGACUUUCUGGUCUGUAACUGACGCUGAUGUGCGAAAGCGUGGGGAUCAAACAGGAUUAGAUACCCUGGUAGUCCACGCCGUAAACGAUGAGUGCUAAGUGUUAGGGGGUUUCCGCCCCUUAGUGCUGCAGCUAACGCAUUAAGCACUCCGCCUGGGGAGUACGACCGCAAGGUUGAAACUCAAAGGAAUUGACGGGGACCCGCACAAGCGGUGGAGCAUGUGGUUUAAUUCGAAGCAACGCGAAGAACCUUACCAAAUCUUGACAUCCUUUGACAACUCUAGAGAUAGAGCUUUCCCCUUCGGGGGACAAAGUGACAGGUGGUGCAUGGUUGUCGUCAGCUCGUGUCGUGAGAUGUUGGGUUAAGUCCCGCAACGAGCGCAACCCUUAAGCUUAGUUGCCAUCAUUAAGUUGGGCACUCUAAGUUGACUGCCGGUGACAAACCGGAGGAAGGUGGGGAUGACGUCAAAUCAUCAUGCCCCUUAUGAUUUGGGCUACACACGUGCUACAAUGGACAAUACAAAGGGCAGCGAAACCGUGAGGUCAAGCAAAUCCCAUAAAGUUGUUCUCAGUUCGGAUUGUAGUCUGCAACUCGACUACAUGAAGCUGGAAUCGCUAGUAAUCGUAGAUCAGCAUGCUACGGUGAAUACGUUCCCGGGUCU